rnacentral:rRNA from 1 species
UUUACCUGGGUUGAUCCUGCCAGUAGCAUAUGCUUGUCUCAAAGAUUAAGCCAUGCAAGUCUAAGUACGCACGGUCGGUACAGUGAAACUUGCGAAUGUGCUCAUUAAAUCAGUUAUGGUUCCUUUGAUCGCUCUACCGUUACUUGGAUAACUGUGGCAAUUCUAGAGCUAAUACAUGCCAACGAGCGCUGACCUCCGGGGAUGCGUGCAUUUAUCAGACCCAAAACCCAUGCGGGGCCGGCCCGCGCCUCCUUCGCGGGGGGCGUGGGCUCCCCGGCCGCUUUGGUGACUCUAGAUAACCUCGAGCCGAUCGCUGGCCCUCAGGUGGCGGCGACGUCUCAUUCGAAUGUCUGCCCUAUCAACUUUCGAUGGUACGUUCUGUGCCUACCAUGGUGACCACGGGUAACGGGGAAUCAGGGUUCGAUUCCGGAGAGGGAGCCUGAGAAACGGCUACCACAUCCAAGGAAGGCAGCAGGCGCGCAAAUUACCCACUCCCGACUCGGGGAGGUAGUGACGAAAAAUAACAAUACAGGACUCUUUCGAGGCCCUGUAAUUGGAAUGAGUACACUUAAUCCUUAACGAGGAUCCCUCUAAACCC